GAGUAACACGUAGAAAUCUGCCUUUUGGUGGGGAACAGAGGUUGGAAACGACCAGUAAUACCGCAUGUGAUCGAAAGAUGAAAGGACAGCGCAAGCUGUUCGCCAAAAGAUGAGUCUGCGCUAGAUUAGCUAGUUGGUAGGGUAAGAGCCUACCAAGGCCAUGAUCUAUAGCUGUUUUGAGAGAAAGAACAGCCACACUGGGACUGAGAUACGGCCCAGAUUCCUACGGGAAGCAGCAGUUGGGAAUAUUGGACAAUGGACGAAAGUCUGAUCCAGCAAUACCACGUGUGCGACGAAGGCCUAAGGGUUGUAAAGCACUUUAGUUGGGGAAGAAGGCUUUCGGGCUUGACGUUACCCAAAGAAUAAGCACUGGCUAACUUCGUGCCAGCAGCCGCGGUAAUACGAGGGGUGCAAGCAUUGAUCGGAAUGACUGGGCGUAAAGAGUUUUUAGGUUGUUUUGCAAGUCGUUCGUGAAAUCCUAGGGCUUAACCUUAGAACUGCGUUCGAUACUGCAUUACUAGAGUUUUGUAGAGGUCUGUGGAAUUUUUGGUGUAGCGGUGAAAUGCUUAGAUAUCAAAAGGAACAUCGAUAGCGAAGGCAGCAGACUGGGCAAAUACUGACGCUCAAAAACGAAAGCGUGGGGAGCAAACAGGAUUAGAUACCCUGGUAGUCCACGCCGUAAACGAUGAUUACUAUUUAUCAGGAAACUUUUCUUGGUGAAGCAGCUAACGCAUUAAGUAAUCCGCCUGGGGAGUACGGCCGCAAGGCUAAAACUCAAAGGAAUUGACGGGGACCCGCACAAGCGGUGGAGCAUGCAGUUUAAUUCGAUAUUCCGCGAAAAACCUUACCCAUUCUUGACAUCUUAAGAAGUAACUCGAAAGAUUUAUGUGCCUUCGGGAGCUUAGUGACAGGUGUUGCAUGGUUGUCGUCAGCUCGUGUCGUGAGAUGUUGGGUUAAGUCCCUUAACGAGCGUAACCCUCAUCCUUAGUUGCCAUCAUUUAGUUGGGGACUCUAAGGAAACUGACAGUCAAAGCUGUAGGAAGGUGGGGAUCACGUCAAAUCAUCAUGGCCCUUAUGAAUGGGGCUACACAUGUGCUGCAAUGGAUACUACAAAGAGCCGCAAGAUAGCGAUAUCAAGCUAAUCUCAAAAAGGUAUUCUCAGUCCGGAUUGAAGUCUGAAACUCGACUUCAUGAAGUUGGAAUCGCUAGUAAUCGUGGAUCAGCAAC
rnacentral:rRNA from 1 species